CUAAAGCCGGUCGUAGUUCGGACUGGAGUCUGCAACCCGACUCCACGAAGUUGGAUUCGCUAGUAAUCGCGCAUCAGCCAUGGCGCGGUGAAUACGUUCCCGGGCCUUGUACACACCGCCCGUCAAGCCAUGGGAGCCGGGGGCGCCUGAAGUCCGGGACCGCGAGGACCGGCCUAGGGCGAAACUGGUAACUGGGCUAAGUCGUAACAAGGUAUC
rnacentral:rRNA from 1 species